rnacentral:rRNA from 1 species
AUGAACGCUAGCGGCAGGCCUAACACAUGCAAGUCGAGGGGCAGCACAGGUAGCAAUACUGGGUGGCGACCGGCGGAUGGGUGCGUAACGCGUAUGCAACCUACCAUUGAUUGGGGCAUAGCCCGAAGAAAUUCGGAUUAAUACUCCAUAAUAUUCAUCAAAGGCAUCUUUUAUGAAUUAAAGCUUUUGCGAUCAAUGAUGGGCAUGCGUGACAUUAGUUAGUUGGUGAGGUAACGGCUCACCAAAACGAUGAUGUCUAGGGGUUCUGAGAGGAUUAUCCCCCACACUGGUACUGAGACACGGACCAGACUCCUACGGGAGGCAGCAGUGAGGAAUAUUGGUCAAUGGACGCAAGUCUGAACCAGCCAUUCCGCGUGAAGGAAGAAGGCCUUAUGGGUUGUAAACUUCUUUUCUGUUAGAAGAAUAAGCCCGUCGUGACGGGUGAUGCCGGUAUAGCAGGAAUAAGCAUCGGCUAACUCCGUG